rnacentral:rRNA from 1 species
AACGAACGCUGGCGGCAGGCCUAACACAUGCAAGUCGAGCGCCCAGCAAUGGGAGCGGCGGACGGGUGAGUAACGCGUGGGAAUUUUUCCUGGAGUACGGAACAACCGAGGGAAACUUCGGCUAAUACCGUAUGAUGUCUAGCGACCAAAGAUUUAUCGCUCUGGGGUAAGCCCGCGUCAGAUUAGGUAGUUGGUGGGGUAACGGCCUACCAAGCCUGCGAUCUGUAGCUGGUCUGAGAGGACGAUCAGCCACACUGGGACUGAGACACGGCCCAGACUCCUACGGGAGGCAGCAGUGGGGAAUCUUGCGCAAUGGGCGAAAGCCUGACGCAGCCAUGCCGCGUGAGUGAAGAAGGUCUUAGGAUUGUAAAGCUCUUUCGAUGGGAACGAAAUGUGCCGGGCUAAUAUCCCGGCAAGCUGACGUUACUCAAUGAAGAAGCACCGGCUAACUCUGUGCCAGCAGCCGCCGU